UACUAGAGUAGCACUCGCAUAUCAAUAAGCGGAGGAAAAGAAACUAACAAGGAUUCCCCUAGUAACGGCGAGUGAAGCGGGAAGAGCUCAAAUUUGAAAUCUUAAAGGGUUUCCCUUUACGAAUUGUAGUUUAAAGAAGUGUUUUCUGUUGAGGUUUUGGUAAAAGUUCUUUGGAAUAGGACAUCAUAGAGGGUGAGAAUCCCGUAUUUGACCUUUACUUUCAACUUUGUGAUACACUUUCAAAGAGUCGGAUUGUUUGGGAAUGCAGUCCAAAAUGGGUGGUAAAUUUCAUCUAAAGCUAAAUAUUGGCGAGAGACCGAUAGCGAACAAGUACCGUGAGGGAAAGAUGAAAAGAACUUUGAAAAGAGAGUUAAACAGUACGUGAAAUUGUCAAGAGGGAAGCGUUUGACACCAGUGUUGUUUUUCUGAAAAAUCAAUUAAAGAACUGUUUAUGCUAAGCUGUUUAGACUUUAUCAGCUAUCUGUUUAGUUUUGAGCUUUUCUUUAAUGCACUUUUCAGUUAACAAGUCAACAUCAAUUUCUUUUGCUGUAAAAAAGCUUGAGGAAGGUGGCUUGAGAUUCGUCUUAAGUGUUUAUAGCCUCUUGCCUAUGCAGUCGGAGAGAUUGAGGUCUGCAGCGUAGAUCCUUCGGGGCUAAAUGCAUUUGUGCUAAGUUAUAGCAUUUUAUAGACAACUUGUUGACUAUGAUUUGUCUUGUAGCUUACUCGCUUAUGUUAUUUUACCUACGCUUAGGAUGUUGAGUCAUCACACAUCUCU
rnacentral:rRNA from 1 species